rnacentral:rRNA from 1 species
CAGUAGCCGCGGUAAUACGGAGGGGGCUAGCGUUGUUCGGAAUUACUGGGCGUAAAGCGCACGUAGGCGGCUUGGUAAGUUAGAGGUGAAAGCCUGGAGCUCAACUCCAGAAUUGCCCUUAAGACUGCCGAGCUAGCAGGUGAGAGAGGUAAGUGGAAUUCCGAGUGUAGAGGUGAAAUUCGUAGAUAUUCGGAAGAACACCAGUGGCGAAGGCGGCUUACUGGCUCAUACUGGACGCUGAGGUGCGAAAGCGUGGGAAGCAAACAGGAUUAGAUACCCGGGUAGUCCCUGUCUCUUAUAC